UUAGUCAAGCUUUGAUUUACUUUUGCAAUACUAAUAGCACUAUUUUUGCCUGUUGCAAGAAGAUAGUGAUGGCCACACUAGUGGUUUUUAUGCUUCUCCUUCUUAAAUAAGACAUGGAUCAGGUGUUUAUUAAGUAGAAUAAGGUGU